AUACGUAGGGGGCGAGCGUUGUCCGGAAUGAUUGGGCGUAAAGGGCGCGUAGGCGGCCUGUUAAGUCUGGAGUGAAAGUCCUGUUUUCAAGAUGGGAAUUGCUUUGGAUACUGAUGGGCUUGAGUGCAGGAGAGGUUAUCGGAAUUCCCGGUGUAGCGGUGAAAUGCGUAGAGAUCGGGAGGAACACCAGUGGCGCAGGCGGGUAAAUGGACUGAAACGGACUCUGAGGCGCGAAAGUGUGGGGAACAAACAGGAUUAGAUACCCUGGUAGUCCACGCCGUAAACGAUGAUUACUAGGUGUUGGUUGUCAUAGACAAUCGGUGCCGCAGCAAACGCAAUAAGUAAUCCACCUGGGGAGUACGGUCGCAAGAAGGAAACUCAAAUGAAUUGACGGGG
rnacentral:rRNA from 1 species